ACAGCUUACUGGGCAAAUGGACACCGCUGAUGACAGAGUUCUGCUAAACAGCCUAGAUGAUUGGACUUGUUCAUCUGAGACCUUUGAUUGUAGUUGGACCUUUGACUCCCCAACUAAAGGGCAUCAAGACUGUAACCGACUCUCUGAGCACAGCGAAUCCUCUGUAUGUUUUAAGGUUUUAGAGCAAUGCACAAGCUGUGGAACGUACUUUGAGAAAUGUUAUGUGCGUGAACAGUGCACUCCCACUGUGCCCACUGACCAUUCUGAGGGCUCACAUCAGAGCAGACUAGCAGAAGAGUCUUCAAGAACACACAGCUCUGUCUUUCACAUCCCUGAAGUAACCAAAGAAAAUUUGCCUAAUCAUAGCAGCAGAACUGAGGUUAGGAAACCAUCUCAGUCCGAUGCCAUAUUUUCUGGAUCAAUGGAAACCUUUGAGGCUCGGUGGCUUUCUCAGUUUCUUACUGAUCUUUUGAGGCAUAAUAAGGAGACUUCAAGUCUUGCUGCUGAAAUGAGUGAGUCAAAUAGAGAGGUAGAAACCCCUGAAGUCAUAGAUUGCAAGCGUGAAGUUCAAGCUUUGGAUAUCUGUAGGAAGCUCUGUAAAAAGUGUGAUGAGUUGGAGAACGGGAAACGUUGUAAUGAUGAAACUCCUCGAUCUUUUCAACUUGAUGAGGAGGAGGUAAAGUUUGAACACCACUCGAAUGUGGACAUCUCCCUGGAUGCAGUGACCACAGCAGCAGGUUCUUCAGAUGAGUCGAGCGAGGAGGAGUAUGGUGACUGCAUGGAUGGUAAAAGUCAAGGUAGCUCUGAAACUGAAUCAUUCAAAAGUUUUGUUGAGUCAGAAUCGUUUGAAAUCUUCUCAGAUCAACCAUGUGAUAAGGAAAAUCUUACAGAGGAUGAUGAGUCCUUGAUUCAAAUCCUACAGCCAGAUGAGUACCCUGAUGAAGGUAAGGAUAAGAUAAGAUAUACACAGCAAAUGUUAGGUGCUUGUGAAGAAGCGUGUGAGAUUGAUUCUGAGCGACAAGUGACAGGAAAGGAAAGCAGUAAAACGUAUGCUGAAGCUGUAGCUGUUGGACUCAACCUGGGUCAGAUCCAUGAAUGUGCCAAAACAGAUGAGGUCCUUGAAGCUGUAGAUUAUGGGCCUGGUUUUAUGGAUGAAUGCUUCUUGUAUUCUGAGGGCAGGUAUGAUGAACUUUGCCACAAAAAUGAAGCGGUCAUUGAACCCCAUGUAGAUAUGGAUGUGCAAGUGUCCUGUGUUGCAGCUGUUCAAGCUUAUGGACUUGAAGAAGUGGUUGAAAAUGCUUUCGACAGUAUAUCUGAUGAUUCCACGGGAUUGUGUGCUGUGAAGGACACAUUUCAAGGAGCUGAUACUUCAGAAUCUCCUGUUGAAGAAAGUACAUUGUCGGAAACUGAGGUCAGUCAGGGUUUAACUGAAAAUUACACUUCCGAGAUCACAGAAAAUGUACAAGAUCUCAGUCCUGUGGUUGAAAUCGAUGAAAUCAAGGAGACACACUCUGACUUUGAUGAAACUGAGGGGGCUCAUGGACCUUGUUGUGGAGAGAUUGAAACUACCGAAGAUGAAGAAACAAACCUUUUUGACUUUGAGGAUGUUGUAGGAAAUUCUGAGGAAUGUGAAGAAGGUAAAGAAACCCCAACUGCUGAUCAGCUGGUCUCUUGUGCCUUUGGGGAGCAGUCAAAAGCAGAGACUGGCACUCUUUGUGUAUCAGAUGGUCAGCAAGAGGCCAACACCGAGCCAAAAGACCCCUGUGGGCUUCUUGAUCCUCCUGGAACAGAUGGUCUGUCUGAGCAGCACCAGAAAAAUGAAAAAUUAGAGGAACUUGUACAUCAAGUUGCAAGAAAUGAAGCAUCUGAACAAGACACGUCAUUUAAGUCCGACCAAAAAAACAGUGAACAGAGUCAUUCUUAUGAGGAGAGUGAUGUAUCUGAAGAUGAAGAGUACCCAGAGGACUGUGAUUGUGAAUUCUGUCUUCCGCCCAUAGAUCAGGUACCUUUUUCUUAGGGGAGACACUUGCUAAUUGAGUUUAGGAGUUUAAACCAUGUUUUGAAAAGUCUGCAUGCAUGAAUCUGAUCGUUCAAUGUCAAAACAUUUUGCUUGUAAAAGAAUGCAAUUAGUCUGUUCUGAGUUGCCAGACAUUCUUGCCAUCUCUGUUUUUACUUCGUAAUGAAUUCCGGAAGAGCCUGCAGGUCUUGAGAUGUUCAUUCUGUAAACGUAGGACAGAGUCGAUUUCAGACUGUGUGUGCACUGUGUACUUUUCGAUGAAAAAUUGGUUGGCCAGCAGCUUUGGUAUCCCACCCAAGCUGCAGACAGUCAUUUGAUCUUCCUCUGCUUAUGGAAUGCUAGUGCUAAAAGAGCUACCUCAUGCCCCCUUAUGGAUACUCAUGUCUAUAACUAAUACACCCUGUUUGGGUUGGGCUCUGUGACCAAAGUCUAAUCAUGGUGUAUUUGCAUAUUAAUUGUGCACUACUGUGCAAAAGUUUGGAGUCAGUUAAAAAAAAAAUG
ensembl:lncRNA